GGGUUGUGAGGUUAAGCGACUAAGCGUACACGGUGGAUGCCCUGGCAGUCAGAGGCGAUGAAGGGCGUGCUAAUCUGCGAUAAGCGCCGGUAAGGUGAUAUGAACCGUUAUAACCGGCGAUACCCGAAUGGGGAAACCCAGUGUGACUCGUCACACUAUCAUUAACUGAAUCCAUAGGUUAAUGAGGCGAACCGGGGGAACUGAAACAUCUAAGUACCCCGAGGAAAAGAAAUCAACCGAGAUUCCCCCAGUAGCGGCGAGCGAACGGGGAGGAGCCCAGAGCCUGAAUCAGCAUGUGUGUUAGUGGAAGCGUCUGGAAAGGCGCGCGAUACAGGGUGACAGCCCCGUACACAAAAGCGCAUGUGCUGUGAGCUCGAUGAGUAGGGCGGGACACGUGGUAUCCUGUCUGAAUAUGGGGGGACCAUCCUCCAAGGCUAAAUACUCCUGACUGACCGAUAGUGAACCAGUACCGUGAGGGAAAGGCGAAAAGAACCCCGGCGAGGGGAGUGAAAAAGAACCUGAAACCGUGUACGUACAAGCAGUGGGAGCCCCACCACCAAAGCAUUCUCUGGUGUUGAAGGCCCUGCAAAGCAGCAUCGCGGUGGCGGAGCGUCGUUUGCGACGCCCAACACACAAAACAAGCGGUGAAUGCUUUGGGGUGGGGUGACUGCGUACCUUUUGUAUAAUGGGUCAGCGACUUAUAUUCUGUAGCAAGGUUAACCGAAUAGGGGAGCCGGAGGGAAACCGAGUCUUAAUUGGGCGUUAAGUUGCAGGGUAUAGACCCGAAACCCGGUGAUCUAGCCAUGGGCAGGUUGAAGGUUGGGUAACACUAACUGGAGGACCGAACCGACUAAUGUUGAAAAAUUAGCGGAUGACCUGUGGCUGGGGGUGAAAGGCCAAUCAAACCGGGAGAUAGCUGGUUCUCCCCGAAAGCUAUUUAGGUAGCGCCUCGUGAAUUCAUCUCCGGGGGUAGAGCACUGUUUCGGCUAGGGGGCCAUCCCGGCUUACCAACCCGAUGCAAACUGCGAAUACCGGAGAAUGUUAUCACGGGAGACACACGGCGGGUGCUAACGUCCGUCGUGAAGAGGGAAACAACCCAGACCGCCAGCUAAGGUCCCAAAGUCAUGGUUAAGUGGGAAACGAUGUGGGAAGGCCCAGACAGCCAGGAUGUUGGCUUAGAAGCAGCCAUCAUUUAAAGAAAGCGUAAUAGCUCACUGGUCGAGUCGGCCUGCGCGGAAGAUGUAACGGGGCUAAACCAUGCACCGAAGCUGCGGCAGCGACGCUGAUGCGUUGUUGGGUAGGGGAGCGUUCUGUAAGCCUGCGAAGGUGACCUGUGAGGGUUGCUGGAGGUAUCAGAAGUGCGAAUGCUGACAUAAGUAACGAUAAAGCGGGUGAAAAGCCCGCUCGCCGGAAGACCAAGGGUUCCUGUCCAACGUUAAUCGGGGCAGGGUGAGUCGACCCCUAAGGCGAGGCCGAAAGGCGUAGUCGAUGGGAAACGGGUUAAUAUUCCCGUACUUGGUGUUACUGCGAAGGGGGGACGGAGAAGGCUAUGUUGGCCGGGCGACGGUUGUCCCGGUUUAAGCGUGUAGGUGUGUGUUCCAGGUAAAUCCGGUUCACUUUAACACUGAGGCGUGAUGACGAGGCACUACGGUGCUGAAGCAACAAAUGCCCUGCUUCCAGGAAAAGCCUCUAAGCAUCAGGUAACAUCAAAUCGUACCCCAAACCGACACAGGUGGUCAGGUAGAGAAUACCAAGGCGCUUGAGAGAACUCGGGUGAAGGAACUAGGCAAAAUGGUGCCGUAACUUCGGGAGAAGGCACGCUGACACGUAGGUGAAGUGAUUUACUCACGGAGCUGAAGUCAGUCGAAGAUACCAGCUGGCUGCAACUGUUUAUUAAAAACACAGCACUGUGCAAACACGAAAGUGGACGUAUACGGUGUGACGCCUGCCCGGUGCCGGAAGGUUAAUUGAUGGGGUCAGCGCAAGCGAAGCUCCUGAUCGAAGCCCCGGUAAACGGCGGCCGUAACUAUAACGGUCCUAAGGUAGCGAAAUUCCUUGUCGGGUAAGUUCCGACCUGCACGAAUGGCGUAAUGAUGGCCAGGCUGUCUCCACCCGAGACUCAGUGAAAUUGAACUCGCUGUGAAGAUGCAGUGUACCCGCGGCAAGACGGAAAGACCCCGUGAACCUUUACUAUAGCUUGACACUGAACAUUGAGCCUUGAUGUGUAGGAUAGGUGGGAGGCUUUGAAGUGUGGACGCCAGUCUGCAUGGAGCCGACCUUGAAAUACCACCCUUUAAUGUUUGAUGUUCUAACGUGGACCCGUUACCCGGGUUGCGGACAGUGUCUGGUGGGUAGUUUGACUGGGGCGGUCUCCUCCUAAAGAGUAACGGAGGAGCACGAAGGUUGGCUAAUCCUGGUCGGACAUCAGGAGGUUAGUGCAAUGGCAUAAGCCAGCUUGACUGCGAGCGUGACGGCGCGAGCAGGUGCGAAAGCAGGUCAUAGUGAUCCGGUGGUUCUGAAUGGAAGGGCCAUCGCUCAACGGAUAAAAGGUACUCCGGGGAUAACAGGCUGAUGCCGCCCAAGAGUUCAUAUCGACGGCGGUGUUUGGCACCUCGAUGUCGGCUCAUCACAUCCUGGGGCUGAAGUAGGUCCCAAGGGUAUGGCUGUUCGCCAUUUAAAGUGGUACGCGAGCUGGGUUUAGAACGUCGUGAGACAGUUCGGUCCCUAUCUGCCGUGGGCGCUGGAGAACUGAGGGGGGCUGCUCCUAGUACGAGAGGACCGGAGUGGACGCAUCACUGGUGUUCGGGUUGUCAUGCCAAUGGCACUGCCCGGUAGCUAAAUGCGGAAGAGAUAAGUGCUGAAAGCAUCUAAGCACGAAACUUGCCCCGAGAUGAGUUCUCCCUGAGACUUAAAGUCUCCUGAAGGAACGUUGAAGACGACGACGUUGAUAGGCCGGGUGUGUAAGCGCAGCGAUGCGUUGAGCUAACCGGUACUAAUGAACCGUGAGGCUUAACCUUACAACGCCGAAG
rnacentral:rRNA from 1 species